rnacentral:rRNA from 1 species
UACGUAGGGUGCAAGCGUUAAUCGGAAUUACUGGGCGUAAAGCGUGCGCAGGCAGUCCGUUAAGACAGAUGUGAAAUCCCCGGGCUCAACCUGGGAACUGCAUUUGUGACUGCAUCGCUGGAGUGCGGCAGAGGGGGAUGGAAUUCCGCGUGUAGCAGUGAAAUGCGUAGAUAUGCGGAGGAACACCGAUGGCGAAGGCAAUCCCCUGGGCCUGCACUGACGCUCAUGCACGAAAGCGUGGGGAGCAAACAGG